rnacentral:rRNA from 1 species
GACGAACGCUGGCGGCGUGCCUAAUACAUGCAAGUAGAACGCUGAAGGAGGAGCUUGCUUCUCUGGAUGAGUUGCGAACGGGUGAGUAACGCGUAGGUAACCUGCCUGGUAGCGGGGGAUAACUAUUGGAAACGAUAGCUAAUACCGCAUAAGAGUAGAUGUCGCAUGACAUUUGCUUAAAAGGUGCAAUUGCAUCACUACCAGAUGGACCUGCGUUGUAUUAGCUAGUUGGUGAGGUAACGGCUCACCAAGGCAACGAUACAUAGCCGACCUGAGAGGGUGAUCGGCCACACUGGGACUGAGACACGGCCCAGACUCCUACGGGAGGCAGCAGUAGGGAAUCUUCGGCAAUGGACGGAAGUCUGACCGAGCAACGCCGCGUGAGUGAAGAAGGUUGUCGGAUCGUAAAGCUCUGUUGUAAGAGAAGAACGAGUGUGAGAGUGGAAAGUUCACACUGUGACGGUAUCUUACCGGAAAGGGACGGCUAACUACGUG